rnacentral:pre_miRNA from 1 species
AGUUUAAAACCCCUCCAGAUGGUUUUGAGUUUAAAAUUCCCCUACUUUUCAACUCUAAACGCUCUGUAGGGGAAUUUUAAACUCAAAACCAUCUGGAAGGGUUUUAAAC